rnacentral:rRNA from 1 species
CCAGACUCCUACGGGAGGCAGCAGUGAGGAAUAUUGGUCAAUGGUCGGGAGACUGAACCAGCCAAGCCGCGUGAGGGAGGAAGGUACAGAGUAUCGUAAACCUCUUUUGUCAGGGAACAAAGACUGGGACGCGUCCCCGGAUGAGUGUACCUGAAGAAAAAGCAUCGGCUAACUCCGUGCCAGCAGCCGCGGUAAUACGGAGGAUGCGAGCGUUAUCCGGAUUUAUUGGGUGUAAAGGGUGCGUAGACGGGUAUAUAAGUUAGUUGUGAAAUCCCUCGGCUCAACUGAGGAACUGCAACUAAAACUGUAAAUCUUGAGUGCGGGAGAGGAAAGUGGAAUUCCUAGUGUAGCGGUGAAAUGCGUAGAUAUUAGGAGGAACACCAGUGGCGAAGGCGACUUUCUGGACCGUAACUGACGUUGAGGCACGAAAGUGUGGGGAGCAAACAGGAUUAGAUACCCCGGUAG